UUUCAUUCGAAAUUGUUACCGC
rnacentral:miRNA from 1 species